AUUGAACGCUGGCGGCAGGCCUAACACAUGCAAGUCGAGCGAGCGGCGGACGGGUGAGUAAUGUAUGGGGACUGCCCGAUAGAGGGGGAUAACUACUGGAAACGGUGGCUAAUACCGCAUACUAUCGGAUAACCCAUCGGUGAUUCGCUAGGAGGUGGGGGAAAGGCUCCCCUAGGCGACGAUCUCUAGCGGGGCGUAGAGGAUGAUCGGCCACAAGGGGACUGAGCAACGGCCCAGACUCCUACGGAGGCAGCAGUGGGGAAUAUUGCACAAUGGGCGCAAGCCUGAUGCAGCCAUGCCGCGUGUAUGAAGAAGGCCUUAGGGUUGUAAAGUACUUUCAGCGGGGAGGCGUUACCCGCAGAAGAAGCACCGGCUAACUCCGUGCCAGCAGCCGCGGUAAUUC
rnacentral:rRNA from 1 species